rnacentral:rRNA from 1 species
UACAGAGGGGGCAAGCGUUGUUCGGAAUUACUGGGCGUAAAGGGCGCGUAGGCGGCCGCCUAAGUCAGACGUGAAAUCCCUCGGCUCAACCGGGGAACUGCGUCUGAUACUGGGUGGCUUGAAUCCGGGAGAGGGAUGCGGAAUUCCAGGUGUAGCGGUGAAAUGCGUAGAUAUCUGGAGGAACACCGGUGGCGAAGGCGGCAUCCUGGACCGGCAUUGACGUUGAGGCGCGAAAGCCAGGGGAGCAAACGGG